GUUUUAAUAAUUUAAAAUAAAAAUAUUGGUCUUGUAAACCAAAAACAAGGAAACCCUUUUAAAACU
rnacentral:tRNA from 1 species